rnacentral:lncRNA from 1 species
AGUUGUUUCGUGAUGAGAACCAUAUAUCAGCUUUUCAACAUGUCUGAUUACUGUUUGUAAAUAAAAUAGUUAUCAAAGGUACAAGGAUUAUAAUUUAGUACGCCAGACGCACGUUUCGUCUACAUACGACUCAUAAGUGACGCGCAUAUCAAAAUAUUUAUAAAGCCAAAUAAGUACAAAAUAGAAGAGCAUUGAGAAUCCAAAAAUUCAAAAAGGUUGUGCCAAAUACGGCUAAUGUAAUCUAUGCCUUGGAUAAAAAAGUCCUUAGUUUUUCGAAAAAUUCAAAGUUUUGUAAACAGGAAAAAAACAUGACCACAUUAUUGAUAUUUAUGUCAACACCGAAGUGUUGACUACUGGGCUGGUGAUACCAUAUAUCCGUAUAUGAAUUGAUCAUGUUGAUGUAAGAAGAGUCAUACCUAUAAGUAAAAAGCCUUUUUAAUAUUUAAGAAAGCCCAAUUUUCUUUGAAAAUCAAUAAUUGAAUACACUUUAUUCUGUUAUAGAGUUCAUUACAAAAUAUAUAUAUAUAAAUAAUUUGAUUUUGAAUGUAAUGUCUUCUGAUUGACUGACAGUGUCCAGUCUAUCAGCUAAUAGACAUAAUUUUGUCAUUUUACCGUGACGUCAUCCGUUUUUCAUGAUUAACUCCGGUUUGAAAUAAAUUAUAUAAAGUAUGUUCCCUGUUGGAAUUUUGAAAACCAGGAUAAAAUUAAGAACUAAAUCAUUAGGAAUGACUACUGUAAUUUUCUGACUAUACGAAAUAGCAAAAUAAAAUGUGAUACACCACAAUUUUAUGCUAUUUCUCCAUAUAUAGAAAACAUAUUACAGUCAUUCCUUAAAAAUAUUUGUAAUAAGUCUCAAAGACAUUGCCAAAUGUUACGACCCCCCCCUCCUGUUAACAUUGACACAUUUAUAAAACACACUUAUACAUUACUAUCAUCAUUAUCAUCUUACCUUAUAAUGAUUGUACUUAUCUUUUGUUAGGAGGCAAGACUUAGAUGGAUCAGUAUGUGAUGAAAUACAAGCCGACGAGGGAAAAAAACAAGUAUAAGAAAACUUAUCUUGACGUUAAUGACGAAUAUAGUGAACUCGGACAUCGAUUUUGAAAAACCCAUAGAACCUGCGUCAACAAAUCUGUGAUGUAAGUUAGGGAUAGUGCAUGGCCUAUGAUGAAUAAAAAUACAGACUGCGAAUUACAAAGAUUUAAUUAUUGUUGUAGGUCGUUCAGUUUCGAGUGAAGAGGUGUCUCAUUAGCAAUCACACA